rnacentral:rRNA from 1 species
AUACGUAGGGGGCGAGCGUUGUCCGGAAUUACUGGGUGUAAAGGGCGUGUAGGCGGGGAUGCAAGUUAUCGGUAAAAACCCGGGGCUUAACUUCGGGCUUGCCGGUAAAACUGUGUCUCUUGAGUGCAGGAGAGGGAAGUGGAAUUCCCGGAGUAGCGGUGAAAUGCGUAGAUACCGGGAGGAACACCAGUGGCGAAGGCGGCUUCCUGGCCUGCUACUGACGCUGAGGCGCGAAAGCUAGGGUAGCAAACGGGAUUAGAUACCCCGGUAGUCCUAGCUGUAAACGAUGGUCACUAGGUGUGGGUGGUGGUCAAGCCAUCCGUGCCGGAGCUAACGCAAUAAGUGACCCACCUGGGGAGUACGGCCGCAAGGUUGAA